AUGGAGGAACUCUGAUGCAGCGACGCCGCGUGCGGGAUGACGGCCUUCGGGUUGUAAACCGCUUUUGACUGGGAGCAAGCCCUUCGGGGUGAGUGUACCUUUCGAAUAAGCACCGGCUAACUACGUGCCAGCAGCCGCGGUAAUACGUAGGGUGCAAGCGUUAUCCGGAAUUAUUGGGCGUAAAGGGCUCGUAGGCGGUUCGUCGCGUCCGGUGUGAAAGUCCAUCGCUUAACGGUGGAUCUGCGCCGGGUACGGGCGGGCUGGAGUGCGGUAGGGGAGACUGGAAUUCCCGGUGUAACGGUGGAAUGUGUAGAUAUCGGGAAGAACACCAAUGGCGAAGGCAGGUCUCUGGGCCGUUACUGACGCUGAGGAGCGAAAGCGUGGGGAGCGAACAGGAUUAGAUACCCUGGUAGUCCAAGGGCGAAUUC
rnacentral:rRNA from 1 species